rnacentral:rRNA from 1 species
UACAGAGGGGCAAGCGUUGUUCGGAAUUACUGGGCGUAAAGGGCGCGUAGGCGGCCUGCUAAGUCGAACGUGAAAUCCCCGAGCUCAACUCGGGAACUGCGUCCGAUACUGGCAGGCUUGAAUCCGGGAGAGGGAUGCGGAAUUCCAGGUGUAGCGGUGAAAUGCGUAGAUAGUCAGGAGGAACACCGGUGGCGAAGGCGGGUCUCUGGGCCGAUACUGACGCUGAGGAGCGAAAGCGUGGGGAGCAAACAGG